CCAUGGCUCAGAUUGAACGCUGGCGGCAGGCCUAACACAUGCAAGUCGAGCGGAUGACAGGAGCUUGCUCCUGAAUUCAGCGGCGGACGGGUGAGUAAUGCCUAGGAAUCUGCCUGGUAGUGGGGGACAACGUUUCGAAAGGAACGCUAAUACCGCAUACGUCCUACGGGAGAAAGCAGGGGACCUUCGGGCCUUGCGCUAUCAGAUGAGCCUAGGUCGGAUUAGCUAGUUGGUGAGGUAAUGGCUCACCAAGGCGACGAUCCGUAACUGGUCUGAGAGGAUGAUCAGUCACACUGGAACUGAGACACGGUCCAGACUCCUACGGGAGGCAGCAGUGGGGAAUAUUGGACAAUGGGCGAAAGCCUGAUCCAGCCAUGCCGCGUGUGUGAAGAAGGUCUUCGGAUUGUAAAGCACUUUAAGUUGGGAGGAAGGGCAGUAACUUAAUACGUUGCUGUCUUGACGUUACCGACAGAAUAAGCACCGGCUA
rnacentral:rRNA from 1 species